rnacentral:rRNA from 1 species
UACGUAGGGUGCAAGCGUUGUCCGUAAUUAUUGGGCGUAAAGAGCUCGUAGGCGGUCUGUCGCGUCGGCUGUGAAAACCCGGAGCUCAACUCCGGGCCUGCAGUCGAUACGGGCAGACUGGAGUUCGGCAGGGGAGACUGGAAUUCCUGGUGUAGCGGUGAAAUGCGCAGAUAUCAGGAGGAACACCGGUGGCGAAGGCGGGUCUCUGGGCCGAUACUGACGCUGAGGAGCGAAAGCGUGGGGAGCGAACAGG